rnacentral:rRNA from 1 species
UACGGGGGGAGCAAGCGUUGUUCGGAUUCAUUGGGCGUAAAGGGUGCGUAGGCGGCGGGCCAGUCUGAUGUGAAAUCCCGGGGCUCAACCCGGAACUGCAUUGGAUACUGCCUUGCUAGAGUACUGGAGAGGGAACUGGAAUUACGGUGUAGCAGUGAAAUGCGUAGAGAUCGAUGAAGGAAGCCGGUGGCGAAGGCGAGUUCCUGGACAGUUACUGACGCUGAGGCACGAAGGCCAGGGAGCAAACGGG